rnacentral:rRNA from 1 species
UGAGGAAUAUUGGUCAAUGGGCGAGAGCCUGAACCAGCCAAGUAGCGUGAAGGAUGACUGCCCUAUGGGUUGUAAACUUCUUUUAUAAAGGAAUAAAGUCGGGUAUGGAUACCCGUUUGCAUGUACUUUAUGAAUAAGGAUCGGCUAACUCCGUGCCAGCAGCCGCGGUAAUACGGAGGAUCCGAGCGUUAUCCGGAUUUAUUGGGUUUAAAGGGAGCGCAGACGGGGGAUUAAGUCAGUUGUGAAAGUUUGCGGCUCAACCGUAAAAUUGCAGUUGAUACUGGUUCCCUUGAGUGCAGUUGAGGCAGGCGGAAUUCGUGGUGUAGCGGUGAAAUGCAUAGAUAUCACGAAGAACCCCGAUUGCGAAGGCAGCCUGCUAAGCUGUAACUGACGUUGAGGCUCGAAAGUGUGGGUAUCAAACAGGAUUAGAUACCCUGGUAGUCCACACGGUAAACGAUGGAUACUCGCUGUUGGCGAUAUACUGUCAGCGGCCAAGCGAAAGCAUUAAGUAUCCCGCCUGGGGAGUACGGCCGCAAGGUUAAAACUCAAAUGAAUUGACGGGGGCCCGCACAAGCGGUGGAGCAUGUGGUUUAAUUCGAUGAUACGCGAGGAACCUUACCCGGGCUUAAAUUGCAGACGAAUUACCUGGAAACAGGUAAGCCGCAAGGCGUCUGUGAAGGUGCUGCAUGGUUGUCGUCAGCUCGUGCCGUGAGGUGUCGGCUUAAGUGCCAUAACGAGCGCAACCCUCGUGGCCAGUUACUAGCAGGUAAUGCUGAGGACUCUGGCCAGACUGCCAUCGUAAGAUGCGAGGAAGGUGGGGAUGACGUCAAAUCAGCACGGCCCUUACGUCCGGGGCUACACACGUGUUACAAUGGGAGGUACAGAAGGCAGCUACCCGGCGACGGGAUGCCAAUCUCCAAAGCCUCUCUCAGUUCGGACUGGAGUCUGCAACCCGACUCCACGAAGCUGGAUUCGCUAGUAAUCGCGCGUCAGCCACGGCGCGGUGAAUACGUUCCC